rnacentral:rRNA from 1 species
AUUGAACGCUGGCGGCAGGCCUAACACAUGCAAGUCGAACGAGUGGCGGACGGGUGAGUACUGUCUGGGAAACUGCCUGAUGGAGGGGGAUAACUACUGGAAACGGUAGCUAAUACCGCAUACCAUCAGAUUUGCCCAGAUGUGAUUAGCUUGUUGGUGGGGUAACGGCUCACCAGGGCGACGAUCCCUAGCUGGUCUGAGAGGAUGACCAGACAAACUGGAACUGAGACACGGUCCAGACUCCGAGGGGAGGAAGCAGGGGGGAAUAUUGCACAAUGGGCGCAAUCCUGAGGCAGCCAUGCCGCGUGGAUGAAGAAGGCCUGCGGGUUGUAAAGUACUUUCAGCGGGGAGGCGUUACCCGAAGAAGAAGCACCGGCUAACUCCGUGCCAGCAGCCGCGGUAAUUC